UGUCGGUAAAACUCGUGCCAGCCACCGCGGUUAUACGAGAGGCCCAAGUUGAUAGUCAACGGCGUAAAGCGUGGUUAGAUAUAUAAGACUAAAAUAAAGCCGAACGCCUAUCAGGGCUGUUAUAAGCUUAUGAAGGUAAGAAGCUCAUCCACGAAAGUGGCUUUAUAAUUUUGAAUCCACGAAAGCUGAGGCAACAACUGGGAUUAGAUACCCCACUAUGA
rnacentral:rRNA from 1 species